rnacentral:rRNA from 1 species
ACAAGGUUUCCGUAGGUGAACCUGCGGAAGGAUCAUUAUCGUAACAAAAUGUGUUGAGGCAUGCAACGGCUGUCGCUGACCAAAAGUCGUGCACGCCAGGGUGUGUCCUCUCACAUAAAAUCCAUCUCACCCUUUUGUGCACCACCGCGUGGGCACCCUUCGGGGUCGAACAGAUCCAGGAGGGGGCUUGCGUUUUCACACAAACCCCUUUUUAAAAAGUGUAGAAUGACCCCACUUUUGCGAUAACACGCAAUCAAUACAACUUUCAACAACGGAUCUCUUGGCUCUCGCAUCGAUAAAGAACGCAGCGAAAUGCGAUACGUAAUGUGAAUUGCAGAAUUCAGUGAAUCAUCGAAUCUUUGAACGCACCUUGCNCCCCUUGGUAUUCCGAGGGGCACACCCGUUUGAGUGUCGUGAAAAUCUCAACCUUCUCGGUUUCUUCUGAACACCGAAGGAGGCUUGGACUUUGGAGGCCUUUGCUGGUGUCUCUCACCAGCUCCUCUCAAAUGAAUUAGCGGGGUCCUCUUUGCCGAUCCUCGACAUGUGAUAAGAUGUUUCCAUGUCUUGGCUUCAUGGCUCUUUUGCCUUUGGGACCCGCUUCUAACCGUCU